GACGAACCGUCCAAACGUUAUUCGGAAUCACUGGGCUUAAAGGGCGCGUAGGCGGUCAGCACAAGUCAGUUGUGAAAUCUCCGGGCUUAACUCGGAAAGGUCAACCGAUACUGCGGGGCUAGAGUGCAGAAGGGGCAACUGGAAUUCUCGGCGUAGCGGUGAAAUGCGUAGAUAUCGAGAGGAACACCUGCGGCGAAGGCGGGUUGCUGGGCUGACACUGACGCUGAUGUGCGAAAGCUAGGGGAGCGAACGGG
rnacentral:rRNA from 1 species